GACGAAGGGGGCUAGCGUUGUUCGGAAUUACUGGGCGUAAAGCGCGUGUAGGCGGUUAUCCAAGUCUGGGGUGAAAGCCUUGAGCUCAACUCAAGAAAUGCACUCGGUACUGGGUGACUAGAGGACCGGAGAGGAUAGUGGAAUUCCCAGUGUAGGGGUGAAAUACGUAGAGAUUGGGAAGAACACCAGUGGCGAAGGCGGCUAUCUGGACGGUUUCUGACGCUAAGACGCGAAAGCGUGGGGAGCAAACAGG
rnacentral:rRNA from 1 species